UACAGAGGUGGCAAGCGUUGUUCGGAAUUACUGGGCGUAAAGGGCGCGUAGGCGGUCAGGUCAGUCCGGUGUGAAAUCCCUCGGCUCAACUGCGGAACUGCACGGGAAACUGCCUGGCUUGAGUUCGGGAGAGGGAAGCGGAAUUCCGGGUGUAGCGGUGAAAUGCGUAGAUAUCCGGAGGAACACCGGUGGCGAAGGCGGCUUCCUGGACCGACACUGACGCUGAGGCGCGAAAGCUAGGGGAGCAAACGGG
rnacentral:rRNA from 1 species